rnacentral:rRNA from 1 species
AGUGGCGGACGGGUGAGUAACGCGUGAGGAACCUGCCUUUCAGAGGGGGACAACAGUUGGAAACGACUGCUAAUACCGCAUGACACAUAGAGAUCGCAUGGUUUUUAUGUCAAAGAUUUAUCGCUGAAAGAUGGCCUCGCGUCUGAUUAGCUAGUUGGUGAGGUAACGGCCCACCAAGGCGACGAUCAGUAGCCGGACUGAGAGGUUGACCGGCCACAUUGGGGCUGAGAUACGGCCCAGACUCCUACGGGAGGCAGCAGUGGGGAAUAUUGGGCAAUGGGCGCAAGCCUGACCCAGCAACGCCGCGUGAAGGAAGAAGGCUUUCGGGUUGUAAACUUCUUUUGUCGGGGACGAGUAGAAGACGGUACCUGGCGAAUAAGCCACGGCUAACUACGUGCCAGCAGCCGCGGUAAUACGUAGGUGGCAAGCGUUGUCCGGAUUUACUGGGUGUAAAGGGCGUGUAGCCGGGAAGGCAAGUCAGAUGUGAAAUCCACGGGCUUAACUCGUGAACUGCAUUUGAAACUACUUUUCUUGAGUAUCGGAGAGGCAAUCGGAAUUCCUAGUGUAGCGGUGAAAUGCGUAGAUAUUAGGAGGAACACCAGUGGCGAAGGCGGAUUGCUGGACGACAACUGACGGUGAGGCGCGAA